rnacentral:rRNA from 1 species
AUAAACGCUGGCGGCGUGCAUGAGACAUGCAAGUCGCACGAAGGAUCGGGCUUGCUCGAUCCUUAGUGGCGGCCGGCUGAGUAACGCGUAGGUGACCUACCCCGAAGUGGGGAAUAACUGCCCGAAAGGGUGGCUAAUACCGCAUGUGGUCGCACGUUCAUUCGUGCGAGUAAAGCCGCAAGGCGCUUCGGGAGGGGCCUGCGUCCGAUUAGCUCGUUGGUGGGGUAAUGGCUUACCAAGGCGACGAUCGGUAGGUGGUCUGAGAGGACGAUCACCCAGACUGGGACUGAGACACGGCCCAGACUCCUACGGGAGGCAGCAGUCGGGAAUUUUGCUCAAUGGGGGAAACCCUGAAGCAGCAACGCCGCGUGAGGGAUGAAGGCCUUCGGGUUGUAAACCUCUUUUGUCAGGGACGAUGAUGACGGUACCUGGCGAAUAAGCCACGGCUAACUACGUG